CACAUUGACUUUCCGGGGGAGGAGCAGGGAGAGGAAAAGCCAGUUCCUGCCUCUGCCUGGUCCCUGUGCUGCUGGGGGGAUGCGCUGCCCUGGGGACGGUGUCAGGGGGGUUCCUUCGAUUCUGCCCUUUUAUUGCAGCUGGAGCACACAGUGAUAGUUAAUGUCAGCUGCACAAUUUUAGUCUCUAAAGGGCCCUUUUCAGAUGCUUACAACAUGUUCAGUGUUACUAGAUGGGCCUUGGGUCUGACACAGUCUGACUAUUCCUAUGUUCAUCUUUAGGGUGACAGUCCCUGUCUUGGGUGAAUCUGUUUUUGAAAGUUGGGGGAAAAAACCCACCUACCCUGGUUUUGAGACGAGUCUGGGGAAAAGAGCGGCAGAAUCACAUCCAUAUUUUGCACCAGAUCAUCUGACUGUCCCUGGGGACAGGGAAAGGAAAUGGCUGCAAUAGAGCUGUGUCUCAGCUUUCCUCCUUGAUGCUGAAAAGAGCUGCACUGCACGUCAACAUAGUGAGAUGACACAGUCCAUCUAGAUCUGCCCAUCCUAAGAAGGAUCAGCGAAGGGGAGGGAGACAACCAGAUCAAUCAGACAAUGUCCCUGACUGGGGAAGUGAACUGGGGUCCUGAGCAACAGCUGUCAUGACCGACUUGCCAGCCCAAAGUAUCCAUCUAUUACCGAGGUUGUGUUUUCUAGACCUUGAAUAAUUUUUGUUGCUCUUCUCUGGACUUUCUCCAAUUUGUC